CCUCGGCUGUCUGUUACAUGUGCUGCUGACAGUAGUGUGUUAGUUGAGAGUCAUGACUCAGGACCAGCUAGUCACAUUGGAUUGGAUUAUGUUGUUGAUUUACCUCUUUACAAGGAGAGUACAAGUGAAGAAGAAAUAUUUGAUUCUGCUACUUCAGAUGAGGAAUCUUCUUUUACCCCUGACGUAGAAGAAGGUCUGCCUGCUACUCAGGGUGCUGAGGAUAUUUUUCAUGCUUCCGCACGAGCUGAACCAAUAAACCACAGCUUGAACCUUCUCAGGGAGAGUGGAUAUCUUCGGGCAACAGAGAUACCACGCAUACCUUUUUUGCUCUUCAUAUGGCUUAUAUCCUCACUUUUAUCCAUCAUAACAUGGAUGAAAAUCCAAAUUCAACAAGCAUGGCAUGAAGAAAAUGGCCAAGGAGCUCCCACUAACAAGAGAGUCGGACCAGGUAAGUUAAACUAAAAUAGUAGCUUAAAAUAGAUUAAGAUUGAUUUAGUAGAAACCUAGGUCUCUUUUGUUAAUAAAUUUCAUACUUCUAUAGGGCUAUUUACGCAUAACCUAGAACCUGAAAAAUUUAUUUUUUCUCAAUUUAUAGAAAAUAAUUUUUAUAAUGUAACAAAUCCAGUUUAGAGAAAUACAACUGACCAGGUAAUAUUUUUUCCUACUUGGAUGUUUCCUAUUCUAGAAUGAGGAGAUUAUUGUCACUUCCAGUGAAAACAUGUGUUUCCUGAAUGACUAAGCCGGG
ensembl:lncRNA